AUAAAUAACAAAGCAAGUUGGGUCCUCUAUAAACUUUGGUAGAUUCGUGAUUCUUCUUCUCUUGUUCCGUAUGAUGCCCCCCAGCUUAUUGCCACAGAGUAAUUAAACCCAUCCUUAAACCGGAUUUGAUUUACCAAUUUGUCAGAGUUGUUGCUCCUUUCUUUGCUGACAAAAUCUGUGUUUUUAUUUCAUCCGUUCGAAUUUAAUAUGGUACACUUGUCUUUUUAAGGGUAGGAGGGGAUCACAAGAAACACUUAAAACUCGCCUUCUUGAGAUUUUCGAAAAAUGGCGAAAUCUUGAGUUGAGAGGAUUUUAACAGCUGGUCACCGGUAAAAAGUAAGGAGAUCCUCCGAUUUUCUUACUCCCCAAUACAUUCUUCACCAGAAGUUUCCAUCUUGUUUCAUCUUUCUUGCUCUGUUUCUCCAUCUUUUCUUUUAAGUUUCUGUUUCCAAAAAAACCCACACAAAUCAGCGACCAAGACUCAAAUGCUCUUCUGAUUAGUACACUAAUUAGGUAGUAGGUUUAUACCUGCACAGAGGGACUCGACAUUGAUCAGAAUCUGCGCAGACACGUGAAUGCAAUUCAAGGAGUUGCCACAUUCUCUUGCAAUGUACGCAACCUC
rnacentral:lncRNA from 1 species